CAGCCGCCACGGUAAUACAGAGGAUGCAAGCGUUAUCCGGAAUGAUUGGGCGUAAAGCGUCUGUAGGUGGCUUUUCAAGUCCGCCGUCAAAUCCCAGGGCUCAACCCUGGACAGGCGGUGGAAACUACCAAGCUGGAGUACGGUAGGGGCAGAGGGAAUUUCCAGUGGAGCGGUGAAAUGCGUUGAGAUCGAAAAGAACACCAACAGCGAAAGCACUCUGCUGGGACGACACUGACACUAAGAGACGAAAGCUAGGGGAGCAAAUGGGAUUAGAGACCCCUGUAGUCCCUGUCUCUUAUAC
rnacentral:rRNA from 1 species